CCCAGCAGCCGCGGUAAUACGUAAGUGGCUAGCGUUAUCCGGGAUUUAUUGGGCAUAAAGAGUGCGUAGGCGGUUAUUUAAGUCAGAUGUUAAAUUCUACAGCUCAACUGUAGGCAGCAUUUGAAACUGAAUAACUAGAGAUUAAGAGAGGAAAGUGGAACUCACAGUGUAGCGGUGAAAUGCGUAGAUAUUGUGGGGAACACCAGUGGCGAAGGCGGCUUUCUGGCUUAAUUCUGACGCUGAGGCACGAAAGCGUGGGGAGCGAACGGGAUUAGAUACCCCGGUAGUCCACGCCGUAAACGUUGUUCACUAGGUGUAGGAAGCAUCGACCCUUUCUGUGCCACAGAUAAUUCGUUAAGUGAACCGCCUGGGAAGUACGACCGCAAGGUUAAAACUUAAAGGAAUUGACGGGGGCCCGCACAAGCAGUGGAGCAUGUGGUUUAAUUCGAUGAUACGCGAAGAACCUUACCAGGGUUUGACAUCUAUGGAAUCUUUAAGAGAUUAGAGAGUGCCUUCGGGAACCAUAAGACAGGUGGUGCAUGGCUGUCGUCAGCUCGUGUCGUGAGAUGUUGGGUUAAGUCCCGCAACGAGCGCAACCCUCGUCCUGUGUUACCAGCACGUAAUGGUGGGGACUCACGGGAGACUGCCUGUAAAAAGCAGGAGGAAGGUGAGGACGACGUCAAGUCAUCAUGCCCCUUACACCCUGGGCUACACACAUGCUACAAUGGCCGGUACAACAGGUAGCGAAGCCGCGAGGUGGAGCCAAUCCCAAAAACCGGUCUCAGUUCGGAUUGUAGUCUGCAACUCGACUACAUGAAGCCGGAAUUGCUAGUAAACGCAGAUCAGCCAUGCUGCGUUGAAUACGUUCCCGGGCCUUGUACACACCGCCCGUCACACCAUGAGAGUUGGGAAUACCCGAAGCCAGUGCGCUAACCGCAAGGAGGCAGCUGUCGAAGGUAGGUUCAGCGAUUGGGGUGAAGUCGUAACAAGGUAGCCGUA
rnacentral:rRNA from 1 species